rnacentral:ncRNA from 1 species
AACCGCCGUAUGCCGAACGGCACGUACGGUGGUGUGAGAGGUCGGAACGGGAAUUAAUCCCGUUCCUCCUACUCGAU